rnacentral:rRNA from 1 species
UGGGGAAUAUUGCGCAAUGGGCGAAAGCCUGACGCAGCGACGCCGCGUGAGGGAUGAAGGUUUUCGGAUCGUAAACCUCUGUCAGAAGGGAAGAAACCGCACUGUGCUAAUCAGCAGUGCCUUGACGGUACCUUCAAAGGAAGCACCGGCUAACUCCGUGCCAGCAGCCGCGGUAAUACGGAGGGUGCAAGCGUUAAUCGGAAUUACUGGGCGUAAAGUGCACGUAGGCUGCUUUGUAAGUCAGGGGUGAAAUCCCACGGCUCAACCGUGGAACUGCCUUUGAUACUGCUUAGCUUGAAUCCGGGAGAGGGUGGCGGAAUUCCAGGUGUAGGAGUGAAAUCCGUAGAUAUCUGGAGGAACAUCAGUGGCGAAGGCGGCCACCUGGACCGGUAUUGACGCUGAGGUGCGAAAGCGUGGGGAGCAAACAGG